UAAUGUCAUCCGUGCGGCUCGGCUCCAACACGCGCUGCCGCUCAGGAGCGGUGUCUCCCCUCCGCACCCUCCCACUAUCCCCUCCGUUGGCCGCUCCACUCUGGGACCCGCCGUCGGCCGCCCGGCCCUCCUCGCCUGGUUCAGCAGCUUGCGCGCCUGGCCGUCCUUGCCUGGUCCGGCAGCUUGCGUGCCCGGCCGUCCUUGCCUCGCCCGUCCGCAGGGGAGAAGAAGGAGUUGAGAUGGGGCAGCCAUGUGGUGCGCUGCCAAGACAGGUGCAAGAAGGGCCCACUCUCGGUGUUGCCGAGUGAGUGAGUGAGCUCUCGAAUCCGCCGCUGCCGCCGCCGGAUCCCAUCUCUGCCGUGGCUAUGCGCCGGUCUGCCACCGGAUCCCGUCCCUCCUCGAGUUCUACCCCUGUCCGCCCAUCCCUGCCUUGGCCGCCCUCCUAUUCCUCUACCCUGGCCGUCCGUCCGCCGAUUCAGUUCCUACCAUGGCCAGGUCAAUUGUUCAGUUGUUAUGCUAUACUUGUCACUCAAUUGUUUCAGGAAUUGUUCAGUUGCUAUGCUUGUCACUCAAUUUGCAGCAAUCUCUGAGACCAGGCCAACAAUAACUGUUCUAUCUGAAACUCUGCUUAGUGCUUACUGUCAAGCUGAUCUGAUGCCCAACUUGUAAUUCUCCUUCCUUUCAUGUUGCAGGAAGUUCUUAAAUGGAAAAAAAAUAUGGUGAUGUAUAAAUUGAAGAAAGACAUGGCAGCUCUGAUGCAGAUGGUGGUUAAAUUAUCAAGUUUUCUGACACAGUAGCUGGCGAAAGAUCAAGUUUGCUGAAAUACAAGACUCUUAUAAAUCAAGCACUGAAGGUUGCACUGCUCUGUGUCUUGAACAAUCCAAAGAGCCGUCCACCAAUGAGGGUCGUGGUGAAGAUGCUGCUGGAAGCCAAGGAAGAGAACAAGCUGAUGUUGAAGUUGGCACCUCCGAACAUCUGACCUGAAGCAAACCCGUCUAAAGAAUAAUGAAUAAAAGAUGUAUUUGCUCUUCUUGGAUAAUGUACUCCAUACCAAUUGGCAUCAUAUCUAGUUCUGAUCGCAGCUAGCUAGUUCUGAAGCAUCGCCAAAGCUUGUAACUGUACUAGCCUUUUGCUCUGAAUGAAAAGUGCUGGUUGCUACCAAUCUGUCCUAUGGCAAAGAUUUGGUGUUCAUAAAUUGCUGAAUGAAAACCACAUUCCUGAA